rnacentral:rRNA from 1 species
ACGGGUGCUUGCACCUGGUGGCGAGUGGCGAACGGGUGAGUAAUGCGUCGGAACGUACCGAGUAGUGGGGGAUAACGCAGCGAAAGUUGUGCUAAUACCGCAUAUUCUGUGAGCAGGAAAGCGGGGGAUCUUCGGACCUCGCGCUAUUCGAGCGGCCGACGUCUGAUUAGCUAGUUGGUGGGGUAAUGGCUCACCAAGGCGACGAUCAGUAGCGGGUCUGAGAGGAUGAUCCGCCACACUGGGACUGAGACACGGCCCAGACUCCUACGGGAGGCAGCAGUGGGGAAUUUUGGACAAUGGGCGAAAGCCUGAUCCAGCCAUGCCGCGUGUCUGAAGAAGGCCUUCGGGUUGUAAAGGACUUUUGUCAGGGAGGAAAUCCCCAGGGCUAAUACCCUUGGGGGAUGACAGUACCUGAAGAAUAAGCACCGGCUAACUACGUGCCAGCAGCCGCGGUAAUACGUAGGGUGCAAGCGUUAAUCGGAAUUACUGGG